UACGUAGGGGGCAAGCGUUGUCCGGAUUUAUUGGGCGUAAAGAGCGUGUAGGCGGUUCGGUAGGUCCGUUGUGAAAACUCGAGGCUCAACCUCGAGACGCCGAUGGAAACCAUCGAACUAGAGUCCGGAAGAGGAGAGUGGAAUUCCUGGUGUAGCGGUGAAAUGCGCAGAUAUCAGGAAGAACACCCGUGGCUAAGGCGGCUCUCUAGUACGGUACUGACGCUGAGACGCGAAAGCGUGGGGGAGCGAACAGG
rnacentral:rRNA from 1 species